rnacentral:sRNA from 1 species
GCCAGGUGCAGCGGCAUGUACCUGUACACCCAACUACCUGGGAGGCUGAUACAGGAGGAUCACUUGAGCCCAGAAGAUCUGGGUCAACCUGGGCAGCAUAGGAAGACCCAGUCUCAA